AUUUUCUGUAACCACAUCAACCUCACCUUGGGGCUGGUUAUGGGACUACAGAGACUGGGUCCUGAUAUAUUGGCCUUCAGUUUUAAAUAAGUUGCAUUCAUUCUGAGCCAUACCCUUGUUAUUUGUUUGUUAGAUUACAUCUUUGUCCAUGGUGUGUCCAUUUUGUGUCCACGCAAGUAAAUGUGCAGCAGCCAACUUGUAUGACAGUGAAGUUUCCAUAUCUGAUGCCAGGUAAAGUCAUUGAAUGUGCACUUUUAUGUAUUGUCAUGUUUAUAUUUUUAAAUAUAUUUAUAUCUGGAGGCUUGUGAGAAGAACUAUUGAAAAAAAAUAAAGUAUGUGAACAUA